AACAACACUCACAAGAUGACAAAAUAUAAGGUGGGAAGAGAGUCAGACGAAAGUAGAAUUGUAAAGGGCAAAGCAGAAAUGAAAGGUCAAUCCCUACAGAGCAGGUUAUUUACAGAACUCAGUAAAGGGAAAUGUAGGCUUAUAGUAAGAAAUAACUAAUAAAAAUCUAUUAUCUAUACUUCAGAGUCAGACUUGAAAGGGAACUAGGGAAACUUGCCUCAAUUAAAACUUAACUAUUUCUGGGAUAAGAAUUUGGCUUUAGGGAAAGCAAUUCACUGUUUGACAUGAGUGCAAUGAAAUGACAUUGAAUUUUUAAUAAGAAUUACUAUUGCUAUUUUAUUAAUAUUUGAGAAUUACAUCUCAGAAAUUUUUCUGACUUAUUUUUCCAAUUAUGUAAGUCUGUAUGAAACAGCUGUGUAUUCCUUAACAAUUCUUAAUUCAUAGAUAAAAAGUUAUUC
rnacentral:lncRNA from 1 species